GCAGAACGCGAAGAACCUUACCUGGCCUUGACAUGCCACUAACGAAGCAGAGAUGCAUUAGGUGCCCGUAAGGGAAAGUGGACACAGGUGCUGCAUGGCUGUCGUCAGCUCGUGUCGUGAGAUGUUGGGUUAAGUCCCGCAACGAGCGCAACCCUUGCCAUUAAUUGCCAUCAUUUAGUUGGGCACUUUAAUGGGACUGCCGGUGACAAACCGGAGGAAGGUGGGGAUGACGUCAAGUCCUCAUGGCCCUUAUGGCCAGGGCUUCACACGUAAUACAAUGGUCGGUACAGAGAGUUGCCAAGCCGCGAGGUGGAGCUAAUCUCAGAAAGCCGAUCGUAGUCCGGAUUGUUCUCUGCAACUCGAGAGCAUGAAGUCGGAAUCGCUAGUAAUCGCGGAUCAGCAUGUCGCGGUGAAUACGUUACCCGGGUCUUGUACACACCG
rnacentral:rRNA from 1 species